UACGUAGGGUGCGAGCGUUAAUCGGAAUUACUGGGCGUAAAGCGUGCGCAGGCGGUUCGUUAAGUUCGAUGUGAAAGCCCCGGCGUCACCUACGGGACGUAGCAUUGGUAAACGUAGGCGGAGCUUGUAGUGUGGCAGAGGGGGGUGGGAAUUACCGCGUGUAGCAGUGAAAUAGCGUAGAGAUGCGGAGGAACACCGAUGGC
rnacentral:rRNA from 1 species